rnacentral:piRNA from 1 species
UUAGUGCAUGACAUGACGCUUUUGAAUAUG